CGGUGCGUGCGUGUCUCUCUCCAUCUGUAAAGUAAACCAAAAACCAUUUUCACUAUGCAGUCAUUCAAAGCACGUCGCGACGCCGCCUCCCGUGUAAAUAAGCUACAUGUAUGGAGAUACUAGGGGUCGUGUAGGACGGUGGAGGAGAGUUCCCUUGGGGGGGAUCCCGCCUCCCUGCAUGUCUGCGCGUGUCCGUGUGUGAUUAGCGACGGCACAGAGGGCCAACGAGAGCGUUAAGACUAGACGGACACGCAGCAAGAGGGUUUUGAGGGAGCGGAGCAGGAGCAGUGUGAGGAAUGUAUUAUGGAGCCGGGAUGGACCCGGGUGGGCGGGGUUCUGGACCCGGGUGGGCGGGGUUCUGGACCCGGGUGGGCGGGGGGAGCGCUUUCAAGUAUCAAUUGCAUGCUAUUGUUAAUGCUGUAACUGCCAUUGGUUUUAAGUUAAGGGCUGGGGAUGCAAACAAAAAGUGUAUUUUUAUUUAUUUGGAAGCAUAUACCGUACCUGUUUUGUGUGUAUUUUAGUUUUUUGGAAUUGUCAAUUGUUUGUAUACUUGGAAAGAGACCAAGUACUUUUUUAUUUUAUUUUGUAUUUCGGUGAUGUUUGUUUAGUGUUGGAGCACCCGUGGUUCGUUGAGUUGGAGAGUGUUGCUGGGGGAGAGCUGUCCCUCAGCAGAACCUGUCUUGAUAUCUAGUCUCUUCCCCCCCCCCCCCCCCCCCCACAAACCAAUUGGGUCUCUCUCUCCUUUUCCCCGUGUAUGUUCAACCACAUAUGUGAGGGAGGAUGUUUUCUUUUGCCAGAUUUUUAUUUUUAUUCCUGUCUACCAAAAGUCUUUAUAAAUGAUUGUUAUGAUAUUAUUUUGCUCUUAUUUUGUUAUAUAUUGUUGCUAUUGUUGUCAAUGUUUAUUCAUUUAUUAUUAUAUUAUUAUUAAUAAUAAUGAUAUAAUUUUUUUUAUAUUCAGGGAAAUUUAUUUGACACCAAAUUGAACAAAGUAAUCAGCAGAUCCCUGGUCCCGUUUGGACCCGCUGAACAGCGGGUUUAGGUGGCCAGCUCGGUCCCUUUCUCAUUUCCAAAGGUGUGUCUUUUUCAAGCCAGGGAGGACGACUCUAGCGCUCCCCUGGUGGCUUUUUUUAAAUGAUGAUCCCCAAUCUUUUACCCCAAACGUGUAACGACAGCUAUUAUGUUUUUCCGCCUCUGGUCAAAUGAAAUGUACAACGCCACCAAUUGCUGUUUUCGAUCCUGUUCUGGAGAUGCAGAUGGUUAUGCUGUUUUUAUUUCCCGCUCUCAUUCAGUUGAUAGCGGUUUACUAUUCUUCCUCCCUUGUAAAGGCUCGGUGUGGUGAUUCUGGCUUCUCUCAUGCUGUGGUAAACAAAGGUUUUUGUUUUAAGGCAGAACUUUAAUGAAACAUGUUGCACUUGUGAUUGUUAUUGUUAGGUUGGUUUGGCUUGAUUUAAAAGUUUCGAGAGAUUAAAUGCAGAACUGAGAAUUGCUGGGUUGGCAUAAGAGUUUUUUGUUUUAUUUUCCAGUCUGUUUUUAAUCAAUCAUCGACCUGCGACUAAAGGGGCAGAUUAUGAUUCAAUAAUGUAUUUCCGUUAUUUAUUGUUCGCUAGUAUGUUUGUUUAUGACAGUGAUAUAUUCUUCAUAUCAUGUUCGUCAUUGUCAUUUUAAUGUCCUUUAAUCAACAGCCAAAAAUAAUAUUCGCCGUUCUCUAGGACACACACACACACACACACACGCACACACGUGUACGUUGUUGUUGUUUAAGUUUGGUUUUUAGACGUUAACUUCCACACCAAAUGCACAAAAAAAAUUCUAAUUUUUUCAUAUACUCCUUGUUGGCUUAUUAACAAGCAAGAAGUGAAAGUUAACUGUUACGUUUUUUUGGACAAUGAGCGAUUGCUUAAAGCUAGGGUAGGCAAUUUAUUUAAGAAGCAUUUUGUCAUAUUUGUGGAAAACCUUUGAACGUCCCGAAAGAAAUCAAACGCUCUUUAAAAAAAAAAAAAGACAUAUCCUUUAUAUUUGGCUUUUGGAGGCCUGUAAUAAGCCUGUCCAAUUGCAUUUGGUCCUAUUUAAAUGAUUGCAUCCUGUCAGUCCACCGGCCUAUCCGGUGACCUAUGCUCACUCUGUUCAUGAAAAUGUUCAUGAAAAUGAGCAGAGUCUUCCAGAAGGCUAGGCAGACCCAUUGCUAAAGCUAGCAAGCUAGCCAUGUGAUUCUUCCCAAUUGCUCACCCUACGUUUUUAAUGGUGUUUCUUUUUAAAGUCUUCAGACACAACUCCCAAUCUAAAUUGCAUGAGCGUCUGGUAAGCAGGUCAGUGAUAGGCCUAAACACAGCGGUUCCAGAUGUCGGUAGACUUUAUUUUCUUGUUUCUAUGACACAAUGAACCCGGUAUCCAGUCAUAUCGAACUCUACAGCUUUACAGCUCCCUCCUGUUUUCUGUAUUUUAUUUUUUCCCCGUCCCUCACCAAGGUUCUUCUUAAACAAAAGGAAUGCCAUUAUAUUGUGAAUACCUCAGGAUUUUUUUGGAGAAAAAAAUAAAUAAAACACUUAAAAAUCAAAUAAACAAAAAAAAUGUUCAAAA